rnacentral:rRNA from 1 species
UAAAAACAUUUCUGAGGGGAAAAUGUUUUUGGUUUAACCUGCUCAAUGCUUAGGUAAAUAGCUGCAGUAUUUUGACUGUACAAAGGUAGCAUAAUCAUUAGUCUUUUGAUUGGAGGCUUGUAUGAAUGGUUGAACAGGAUAUUAUCUUUUUUAACUAUAUGAUAUUUUAAUUUAUAGUUUAUGUAAAAAUGCAUAGUUAUUUAAAGGGGACGAUAAGACCCUAUAGAAUUUAAAAAUGAUUAUGGAAAAUUUUUAUUUUUUUGUUGGGGUGACAGUAAAUAAACUUUUACAUAAUUUUCAUUGAUGAAUGAUUAUAUGAUCCUGAUGUUUUAGAUAAGUAAAUAAAAUUACCUUAGGGAUAACAGCAUAAUUUUUUUUAAAAGAUCUUAUUAAUAAAAAGGAUUAUGACCUCGAUGUUGAAUUAAAAUAAAAUUUUGGUGUAGAAGCUUAAUUUUUUAGUCUGUUCGACUUUAAAUUUUACAUGAUCUAGUU